rnacentral:hammerhead_ribozyme from 1 species
AUCCAGUUGACAAGUCCCAAAUAGGAUGAAACGCGUGUCCUGGAU